UGAAUACGAGAUGCUACGGCGUCGAAGCAGUCUAUGUCAUACUUCCAAGAAAAGCUUGCACUGUCAUAAACAAAUAAUGCCUGUACCAUAACCGACACAGGUGGGUAGGUAGAGUAUACUAAGGGGCGCGAGAUAACUCUCUCUAAGGAACUCGGCAAAAUGACUCCGUAACUUCGGGAGAAGGAGUGCCUUAUUUAUAAGGUUGCAAUAACAAGAUCCAAGCAACUGUUUACCAAAAACACAGGUCUCCGCUAAGUCGUAAGACGAUGUAUGGGGGCUGACGCCUGCCCAGUGCCAGAAGGUUAAAGAAGUUGGUUAGCAUCCGCGAAGCUGAUAACUGAAGCCCUGGUGAACGGCGGCCGUAACAAUAACGGUCCUAAGGUAGCGAAAUUCCUUGUCGGGUAAGUUCCGACCCGCACGAAAGGCGUAAUGAUUUGGAUACUGUCUCGGAGAGGGGCUCGGUGAAAUAGACUUGUCUGUGAAGAUGCGGACUACCUGCACCAGGACAGAAAGACCCUAUGAAGCUUUACUGUAACCUGAAAUUGAAAUUGGACUUUACUUGCGCAGUAUAGGUGGGAGGCGUUGAGAAUAUUCUUGCGGGAUUAUUGGAGCCAUCAGUGAGAUACCACUCUUGUAAUGUUAGAUUUCUAACUUUGUAUCAUUAUCUGGUCAAAGAACAGUUUCAGGCGGGCAGUUUGACUGGGGCGGUCGCCUCCUAAACGGUAACGGAGGCGCACAAAGGUUUCCUCUGAACGGGUAGAAAUCGUAUCUAGAGUGUAAAGGCAUAAGGAAGCUUGACUGUGAGACCUACAAGUCGAGCAGGGACGAAAGUCGGUCUUGGUGAUCUGACGGUGCUGAGUGGAAAGGCCGUCACUCAACGGAUAAAAGUUACUCUAGGAUAACAGGCUGAUCUCCCCCAAGAGUUCACAUCGACGGGGAGGUUUGGCACCUCGAUGUCGGCUCAUCGCAUCCUGGGGCGGUAGUACGUCCCAAGGGUUGGGCUGUCCGCCCAUGAAAGCGGUACGCGAGCUGGGUUCAGAACGUCGUGAGACAGUUCGGUCCAUAUCCGGUGUAGGCGUUAGAAUAUUGAGAGGAGCCUUCUUUAGUACGAGAGGACCGAGAAGGACAUACCUCUGGUGUACCAGUUAUCGUGCCAACGGUAAACGCUGGGUAGCUAUGUGUGGAGUGGAUAACCGCUGAAAGCAUCUAAGUGGGAAGCCCACCUCAAGAUAAGUAUUCUCAU
rnacentral:rRNA from 1 species